rnacentral:rRNA from 1 species
GAUGAGCGCUGGCGGCAUGCCUAAUACAUGCAAGUCGAACGAGAGGAAGGAAAGCUUGCCUUCCUGAAUCUGGUGGCGAACGGGUGAGUAACACGUAGGUAACCUGCCCAUGUGCCCGGGAUAACUUCUGGAAACGGAUGCUAAAACCGGAUAGGUAGCAGACAAGCAUUUGACUGCUAUUAAAGUGGCCUUGGCCAUGAACAUGGAUGGACCUGCGGUGCAUUAGCUAGUUGGUGAGGUAACGGCCCACCAAGGCGACGAUGAAUAGCCGGCCUGAGAGGGCGGACGGCCACAUUGGGACUGAGACACGGCCCAAACUCCUACGGGAGGCAGCAGUAGGGAAUUUUCGUCAAUGGGGGGAACCCUGAACGAGCAAUGCCGCGUGAGUGAGGAAGGUCUUCGGAUCGUAAAGCUCUGUUGUAAGAGAAAAACGGCACUCAUAGGGAAUGAUGAGUGAGUGAUGGUAUCUUACCAGAAAGUCACGGCUAACUACGUGCCAGCCGCCGCAGUAAUAC